ensembl:lncRNA
GGCGUGUUUUUGGGUAGCAACCAGAAGCAUCAGCGACAAGACACACGACUUUAAUAAAUGCACUGAUUUCUGAAUGUGAAACAGAAAGGUGUUGGCAAGUAAUGUGCAGUACAUGCCUGCACAUCCACUCAGACAGAUGAAGAAAAGCUUUUUAGUGAAUGCACAGAGUGUCUCCUGGAGAUUGCAAGGAUUACCAAAUUGUACCAGGGACAGUUGGGGAUAUUGGCCUUAGUGGCAUGCAUGAAUACACACCACCAAAGAAAAGAAUGGAUCGGUGUGGACAUUGACUGAUCGCGUCAAGCUUGUUUGGGGUAAGUGCUAGUCAUUGCAGCUGUGGUAGCUUGGUGCUAUUAUUCCGUGUCUCAUCGCAAGGCAGAUCUGCUGAAGACUGAACUGCUAGACCCCAACAAAGAUGGCUUUGUCACUCGCAAACCAAACUGGAGCCAUCAUCUUCCGAAUGGCAUUCAGGUUCCCUUGAUCUGAACUCUUGCUACAAGGAAGGUACAAUUCUCAGUUACAGACGAUCCAGUGGAUGAAAGCUUAAUUUCUUCACUGAAACUGUGAGACCCAAGGACACAGUGGCGUGUUACCGUGUGCGCUGGGAGGAGCUUGAUGUGUACCGUGCUGUAGAACAUGCCAUGGCCUAUAAUGGCAAUCACUGGUAUGGUGGGACAGAGUCCAGGUCCCAGCACUGGCCAAUUGUUUUUGUGGGAAUCCAGGAACCCAAAC